CUGCGAGUGAUACAACGCGUAUCGCAGAAUACCGCCCCUGCCUGCCUCUGGUCCUUGUCGCGCCGCACAUCGACUAACAGGCAGUCUCUGUAUCACCGACGCACGACUCACCUGCGCGCCAUCGCAUCCAUACACAGCCCAUACGCACGGACGACUCAUCUAUAAUCGUGUCAGUCUGCGCUUCACUUUAUGUUUUCUUGUUUCUUUUCGUUGUUGUCGUUUGUGCGCAGGCAACCACUCGUGGCGCAGCUGCGCAUCUGAUCCGCUCGCGCGGGUUGGCGACUUAUCGUCUUUGCCCAACCCACUCAUAUCUCAGCGCACCGAACUCGCCAAGGGAAACGAACCACUCGCGCAUAGAACCGGAAUGCCGUGUCCACCUGGAAGUGGUCUGGCUGUUGCGCUGGCAAUCAGCUUCGGCACCAUCGUCUUCCUCGGCGGCAGCUUCCUGUACGAGUGGUACACGCAGCGCAGCGAGGGGGGGCAAGCGAAGGAGGCUGAGACGGGCUACUACCGCCUGCCACCGCCCAAAGACUGCGCCGCGGCGUGUGCGAACGCGAUCGAGGAGGAUCUGCUGGAGCAACGCCUGGAGUUUGGGGGCGGUCUCAGGCGGCAGGAUGAGUACAGCAGCGGUCGCCGCAGUCGCCGUGGGAUGUGCGUGUGCUGCUUUGAGCGGCGGCAGCGGUUCAUGUUUGUGCUGUGCCGCCACAUCUGCCUCUGCGAGCCCUGUCUCAUGCAGGCUGCCCGCACCUACGAGGAAACGGUGUUGUUCGGAGCGUUUGAUGGCCCGGUGAAGAUGCCGUGCCUUGUGUGUCGCAAGGUCAGCUACAUUGUGAAGAUAUUUGCAUCAUAGAAGGGCAUCCCAAUGCAAGUGUGCGUCUUCGUACGUGGGUGAGUUGGGAGGUACAGAUGCAGGGUGCGGCGUGUCGGCGGUGGGGGUAGGGUGGGGAGCGUAUUCUGUAGUGUGUGUUGCCAGUGCUCAUGCAUCACUACACCGGACGCGAACGCACCCGUCAAUCCUCCUCCUCCUCCUCCUCUCUCUUAUCCGUGCCACUGUUUUCCAUGAUCCUCUUUUUUUUUGUUGCUUCAAAUGAUCUGCUCACUCUCGCGCUUCUUUCCCUCUCUCUCUCUGUGUGCACGUGCGUCCUGUGGAUCGACCCAUGUGUCACCGCACAUGCGACUACACGAUGCGUUCAUGUCGGCCAUGAUCGGCUCACGCAGCGCGAGCCCUCUUUAUCUCUUCGCAGGCGAGCGUGCGUGCGUCUCUUUAUCGGGUGUGAGUGUUCUCCUCGCGCGCGCGUAUGCUGCCUCGGCCUGCCGUUCGACCCCGCGCACAGCGACGGCCGGACGGGAUAGAAGGAAAGGGAGAGGGAGGGAAGGGCCGAACGGCUAGCGUGAAGAUGCGAUACUGUUCGCCGGCGGCUCGUCAUUUUGUUGUUCUUUUUCUUUGCACCCGAACCAAGAGGGGAACGCCUUUGCCGGGAGGGAGACGGUGGGUGCGAGACGCCCAGGAUGCCGUCUGGGAGGCUCGGUGUGAUCUCACUCCUCGCACGCCUCUCGGCCUUUUUUUUGUUGUUUUGCAGUUGCUGUUCACUUUCUCAUGCACGCGCACAUGUAGAUCGGCUGCCAAUGUUGUAGCGACUACCGCUGCCACAUGGAAUGCAUGGCACGGGCCAGCCCACCAAACCCAUACGGACACACCGCAGUGAGUUGUCAGAGCAUCACUGCAGUCGAAAAUUUGUGCAGCCUCGUGCAGUGCGAGCUCUCCGGUCUGCAGCCGCGCGAAGGGCCGUGCACCUCCUCUUGCUCUUUCUCUCUUCAAAAAAAAAGCAGACCUUCGUCUCAUUAAACGUCUUGCCGCCUCCUUUCGGGGCUCAUGGCCGCGCCCCUCUCCUAUAUAUCACCUCAACAGGCUUGACAAGGGGAGGGAGCACGCGACACAUCGGGUGGGGCGCCGCACAGAGGUCCAUCCUUCACAACGUCGGAACUGAGAAGACGUGUGGCCGCUUCAACGUUUUUUGCUCUCUUUGUUGUUUGUUUCGGUUGGCGCUGUCUUGCAGGCUUCCGGGCCGAGCGCUACGGGCCCUCCUCGUUGCGGUGCGGGGGUCACACAUGCAUCAGUGGUUCGCAGGUUUCUCCUUUUCGUCAUUGGCUACACACAUUCGCUGUCCCGUCCUGUCCCUGUGUGUGUAUGUAUCUGCCCACCGUGUUGGACGCAGACUCAGAGAGACACACGCACAGGCUGUACUGAAUCUGGUGACCAAGAGAAGGAUCACGUUCGGUCGGUGGAGGCGCCGCAGCUCGCAAGGCUUUCUUGACGGGUGCUGCUGCGUUGCUGAUGUUUGGAGUAGUUUGUCUCCGGCGGCGACAGCCCGCGUGCCGCCAUGAGCAGAACCUAACGACGGCCCGUCGUCGUCUUGCACGUCCGGUGAGAAAAAGCGAGGAUAAAGAUGACGAGGCCGCCGCGAAAAAAAGAGGAGCAGUGGUAUUGGAACCGACCGCCUCCCCCCCAUCCUCCACGCGGCGUCCUCGUAAUCGAUGAGGAAGAGCUCAUAAACGCGGGCAGCGACGUGUUGGCUAUGAAGUGCACCGCGAUUGGCGGGGCGAUGCGUGUACUGCUAUGAGCGUACCCCCAAACUCAUGCUUUUCGAAUGACUGCAUCUGUGCCUGUACAAUGCAGGCCGGACUUACAUCGGAUUGUGUGCCCUACGUGGGCACGAGGUUGCGCAGUAAGUUUGCCGGACCGAUGCGGUUGUCGCGUCCGCUGUGCAGCGAGGUCGGCGCAGUCGGCAAAACAGCCCGCGCCCAAGCGCAGCUGCUGCCGUCGGUGGCGGAUGUGCCGUCCUUCCUUUAUUACUCCAUUUUGUGUUUCCCGUGGCGGUUUUUGUACGUCUCAUCAUUGGACGCUGUCUCAAUCAUGCACACACACGGCCAUUUCUCCGCUCUUCACCUCUGUCUCGCAACCUCCAUCAGCUCGCUGCGCACACACGCAGUGGGGAAAAGCCUCGCUUAAGGCUUCUGCCCUGCUGUCUCCCUCGGACUUGCAUUGUGCCGGUCUCCUGCUGUCGUUGGUGUUGUCGCCAUCCCUUCGCUCGCACAUUUUUGUUGUGGUGUGGCGUGCACACUUCUUCUGCGUAUUGGCGUGUGUGCGUGUGUAUGUGCGUUUGUUGCCGGCGCAGCAACUGCUGCUGCUGCUGCUGCAUCUCCUCCCUCCUUCCUUUGACCCCCUCCCCGUUAUACGCUCGCCAACUCGUAUCCCUGUGCUCACCAGAAAGGACGUUAGUCGUGGCUGUUGAUUUCAUCGUCAUGGUCAGUGCCUUUCUUCUCUCUUUCUUCCGCUUGCCUUCGACCUCUCUCUCUCUGCCCUCCACCUCUCCUCCUGUCACCGGUGUUUGCCGUCCGCACACGCUCGUGCAACCAGCACACCGAGCCAAUCACGACAGACAUCACGCACACACAAACAGGCAGAGAGAUGGCAGGGGGAGGGGGAGAGCGUGCAUCGAGUCUCACCGUGCGAAGCGUUACGCGUCGGCGGUGCCUCCUCUCUCGUGCCUCGCUGUUGUUGGCGGCUGUGUUCUGUGCCCCCUGUCGCGACGGGGAAGAGGGGGGAAAGAGAAGAAGCCGUGCGAAGUAGAUUGGCGAUCGGUGCGGCGUCUGC
rnacentral:misc_RNA from 1 species